UACGUAGGGGGCAAGCGUUGUCCGGAUUUAUUGGGCGUAAAGAGCGUGUAGGCGGCUGGGUAGGUCCGUUGUGAAAACUCGAGCUCAACCUCGAGACGCCGAUGGAAACCCUCCAGCUAGAGUCCGGAAGAGGAGAGUGGAAUUCCUGGUGUAGCGGUGAAAUGCGUAGAUAUCAGGAGGAACACCGGUGGUGUAGACGGCUCUCUGGACCGUAACUGACGCUGAGACACGAAAGCGUGGGUAGCAAACAGG
rnacentral:rRNA from 1 species